UUACAGGGAUAGUUCAGUUGGUAUAACAUGAGACUCUUAAUCUCAGGGUUGUGGAUUUGAUUACCACAUUGGGCAAAA